AUGAGGAAGUGGAGAGGCUGAGCUGCCCCAAGCUGCAGCUCCAAAUGGAUGGAGACGGGGACAGCAUCAGGAGCCCACCUUCAGGCCCUGGGCACUGUCCUAUCUAUUACUAAUUAGCUUGGGAAAGCCCUGGACCUGUCUGACCGGCAAAGAAGCCAGUGGCCUUCCUUCCAAGUAUCUCCAAGAGGAGCAGGCUCAGAUGGACGUUAGGAGGCUUGGUCAGGCCCCAGCAGGAAACAGAAAGACACUCAGCUGGGAUUAUGAAGGUAAGUGAAUGAAUGGGCCAUUUGCAGAGGUGUGACAAGGUUAAGGGAAUCAAUAAGGACUGCUGAGGAGGCUGGAGAUGCGCCACAGCAGGAAGCUAUUCCCAGCCCCAGGCCUGAAGAGGGGCUUGGCAAAAAGGUAAGAGUUGGAGUAAGAAUUGGAGCCAUGCAUGGGGCUGCCCAGAAGGAACUACGGUCGUAGAAUCAAAGCCAGGCAGGGAAGGAGUGAGCAGAAUGAAUACUCCAACCAGUCUCUCACUGCUUCUGAUCUCCUCCCAAAGCUUCCUGUUAAUCUAACCCAAACUGGAAGGCAGAGAGCGAGGCAGCCCUGUGACACCAUCCACAGGGAUCCAUCUCCUAAAGCACAGAGCAGGCAGAAAAUGGGUCUUGGGUUGGGAGCAAAGCAAAAUCAUAAAGCCAGCAGAGGGGGUGUGGUAGAUGUUACACUCCAUCUACAAUAUGAAUCCUGAUUUCACUGCUUGUGCCUGUGUGAUCUUGGGCAAGUCACUAGCUCUCUGAGCCUGGUUCUCUUCUUGGGGGCUAAUCAUAGCCUCUUAAUGGAGUGGUUGUGAGGCUUAAAUGAGGUGCCUUGUGGGAAAGUGCCAAACACAUACUAGGUGCUUAUCAAGGUCAGUUUCCCCUCCUUCAGAGCCCCUCUCCCAAGCUCUGCUGAAUUGGAGGCACCAGGGCAGAGUGGAACGGAGAAAAUAUACAGGCUCAGAUCUGGACCCUGGCUCCACAGCUACCACCUGCAUGACCUUGAACAAGUCACUUGUCCUCUCUAACUUUGUUUUCUUAACAGUAAAAAGGGAAGAUCCUGCUCAUAAGGUUGUUGUGAGAAUUAGAAAUUGUCACCUAGUAAGGUAUUGGGCUCAUGGUAGGUAGACCUUGGAGUCACACUAAUUCAAACCCCAAGCCCCUUCUUGUUAAUCACGUGACCCUGGUCAAGUUUUUGAAUCUAUCUGAGCCUCAGUUUCUUCAUCUAUAACAUGUGGAUGAUAAAAACACCUUUCUCUUAGGGUUGUGAUAAUGAAAUGUAGUGGGCACUAAACAUACCAGGCGGAGUCAACCCUCAAAGUUUGCUGUUGGUAUUCAUCGUUACUGUCAUCAGUGCUGCAAUGUCCCUGUGUUUCUUUCUCCAGUCAAACAUCCAACCCCUCUCCUGAGACCCCAAAGUCUUUACUAGAGAAAGGCCAAUAGAGAAUGGGAGGAGGGGAGAUAGACAGCAAAUCCCAAGGGGAGGGGUUCAGGGCAGGCGGAUGGCUCAGCCUGGUUGACAAACACCCUUGCCCAGCACACGCAUGCAGAUAUGAGGUUCAGUUCAAUACUUGGCCUGUAACUCGUCCUGGCCCUCCUCCACCCGGUCACCCAGACCACAGGAAGGACUGUCCUGCUUUCCUAUCACCCCUAGGGCUGCCUAGUGCCUUGUUGUGACUCUGGCUGGCUUUCAGUUGGAUGAAAACAGAGGGAAGAGGGGAUUGUAUGGUAUGACUAGACCUGAAACUGUCUCCCUCCAAUAAUAACUUAUUAAACACUCCCUAUGAGCUAGGUACCGUUGGAGACUUAGUGUAAUUAACUCUCAUCAAUUUCAACAAUAUCAUGAAAUUAGUAACGUUGGAAUAGUAACAUUACUGAUAUUGGAAGUUGAAGCCCAGAGAGGUUAGGGAACAUGGCCAGCAUCACACAGACAGUAGUGGGUGGAGUCCUCAUUUGAAAUCAGGUCUGAUUGUUCCUAAAGGCCAAGCUUGGGCAGCCAUGCCAGGUGGGCUCCCAGAUGAAUGGCCCAUGUGUUGAACAUCAGUGGAGGUAGUUGGAAAUAGAAUGGGAAGACAAGAGUGACGAAUGAGUCUGGAACAGAUGUGUGAACUGCAUGGUCUGCCAUCUCUGGUCAUUUCCCAAGAGGGUUGGAUACUGAGGAUCUCUGGGGCUCCUUCCCCUCUGAUACCCUGUGAGCCAGACCCUGACAACCAGGACCUUGGAGAACGGAGGGAACAAUCCUGCUUCCCAGGCUCCAGGAAUUUGCUCCUUUCCUCUACCCCAUCCUGCUCCCUUGGGGCCUUGAUCACUUUUCCUACCCUGACCUGCAGAUAGCCUUGUGGCUAAUGACUUUGUGUGCUAAUCCUCCCCCAGGUGUGUCCCAGAGGGCACCUGGAGAGCGGUAGUGGGGUCUCAGUGGUAGGGGGAGCACUUUCCUACAUCACAAUGCCCAGGUGCUUUUGAGCACUUAAUCUGCCAGCUUGUCAGGCAGGUCUGUGGUCUCAGGUGCUGACUGACUGGCCAAAGAGUUAUGGGGAGGGGCAGCUAAACCCCUGUGGCCACAGUCAACCCCUUCAGAGCACAGGGGCUCUUCUUGGGACCUCUGAAGCCUGGACAAGAGGAGAGAAGCAGAGAAACCUGGGGGCACCAUUAUGAUGCGCCACGCAGUGGAGUUGCGUGGGUGGGAGAAGCACACGGCUCUGGGUCUUCAGAACUGGCCCCCAAGAUGAUGAAACAGGCGUGGAGAGGAUGAGUAACUUUCCCAAGGGCUGAACUAGCAUCUUAAUGCCUCACAUUUAAAAGCAUGGAACGUGAGCUUUGGAUCUGGCUCCCAGUUCAAGUGUUCUGACCAUCACUCUAGCUAUUAAUAUCCUGCAAUCCAUAGAAUUCAUGUUGGGGAACAUUGUCCUAGCAGAAGAGAUCCCUAGUUCCAUUGACCUAAUGGAAGAGAACCCGAGUUCCACAAACCCCUUAAUGGGCAUCCACUUCUGAGCAAUCAAUAAAGAAGCAUUAAAGUUUA